rnacentral:lncRNA from 1 species
AUGUAUAUGUAUAGCUGCAGGCUCGGCGGCUCGCUACUUCAGCUUCGGCUCGGAAUCGGACGCGCCCGUCCGUCUGGUCGUGAACGAGAAGCAUAGGUACGGCCGAUAUGUCCGAUACGGAGUGAAUGCACAAGGAUUUUCCGAGGCCCGGACGGCCAGACUCGACCAAGUGACCGGACCCAAUUCAGUUCGGCGAACACAAGGACGCGCCGAUCGAGUUAAUUCAGGUGGCUCACGACCUCACGGAUUCCCCGUGACGACCCUCGGACUUGGGCCAGCUAGCAGCUACCAGGCUACUACCACGUCAAGUCACCAAAAAUUGCAGCCAAGGCUGGUCAGUUGUGUGGACGGAUGGAUUGAUUCGAGCAACUGGAAUUGGAAAUUCGAGACGGGGCCGCUGGACCGAUUGCACACCGGGUUACUGCUGGGAACUGUAAAUAUGGGCGUGUUGUUAAAUUGAGUGGCGCGCGUGUGCAUGAAUUGAAGGUGUCUCCUCAAAAAAAUGAAUUGAAGGGGCGAACCUACCGUUCAUCUCGCCAUUUACAGAGGACGGAUGGAUGUAUGCCCAGUGUUUUAUGCUUCUUUUAUCUGGCCAUUUCUUGAUGUGUGGCAGGGGCUAGGAAUUGUUAUCGGAUAGGGGCUUCCAUUAUCUUGAUAUUUUUUGGGUUCAUCUUUCCCCAUCUCUCUUUUUGUGUAUUCUUUUUUUUAAUCUAUCUGAUUGCAUUUUUAUUACUAACCACAUUUGCCACGUGGUCUCUUUUUGUGUAUUCACCCCUGUGAUUGGUGGAUGUUGAUUUGUGGGUCUAGCAUGAGAAAGAUUGAUGGUGGAGAACGUUGUCGGCAACAUCCACAAGCGGAACAGGUUGCCCUUACGUACCAUCCAUAGCUUGACAUCUUCUCAAUUGGCACAGGGUCAAGUUCAAACAUUCAGAUAUGUGUAACUCCUGCUUUGCAAGAAAAUGUUUCAGAACCAAAUCAAUGUACUUACCUUUUGCUUUUUCAU